rfam:Myotis brandtii contig262186, whole genome shotgun sequence.
AGAGGCCCUCCACGGCCUGGGUGGAAUGUUUGUCUCAUCACCAUGGUGACAAAGCAAGCAUUCUGCCAGGCCGCUCACGCUGCCCAC